rnacentral:rRNA from 1 species
UWAAUUGAAGAGUUUGAUCAUGGCUCAGAUUGAACGCUGGCGGCAGGCCUAACACAUGCAAGUCGAGCGGAAACGGCAGUAUUGAAGCUUYGGUGGAUUUACUGGACGUCGAGCGGCGGACGGGUGAGUAACGGCUGGGAACCUGCCCUGACGAGGGGGAUAACCGUUGGAAACGACGGCUAAUACCGCAUA